rnacentral:misc_RNA from 1 species
GGGAUAAAAAAGGAGGCUUACCAACCUUCUCUCUAUUCACGAUGCCUCUUCUACACACACUCAAAACAGCGCUCGCAGUGGGACUCCUUGGAGCCAGGUACUACCCCGAAGGUUCAAAACCAAGACCCCCAAGUCGCUUUACUUUGAGAUGUGUUAGAAAGCCCCAAGGUCAUUUUACUUUGACCUGUGUUAGAGACCCAAAACGGUGGCAGCACUGUCUAGCUGCGGGCAUUAGACUGGAAAACUAGUGCUCUCUGGGUAACCACUAAAAUCCCGAAAGGGUGGGCUAGUGGCGACCCUCCGAACUAAAAGACAGCCUCCCUCCUCGCGGGGGGGGGGGCCUGCCC